CAGUCGCCACGGGAAUAGGUAGGGUGCGAGCGUUAAUCGGAAUUACUGGGCGUAAAGCGUGCGCAGGCGGUUAUAUAAGACAGAUGUGAAAUCCCCGGGCUCAACCUGGGACCUGCAUUUGUGACUGUAUAGCUAGAGUACGGUAGAGGGGGAUGGAAUUCCGCGUGUAGCAGUGAAAUGCGUAGAUAUGCGGAGGAACACCGAUGGCGAAGGCAAUCCCCUGGACCUGUACUGACGCUCAUGCACGAAAGCGUGGGGAGCAAACAGGAUUAGAUACCCGUGUAGUCCCUGUCUCUUAUAC
rnacentral:rRNA from 1 species